rnacentral:rRNA from 1 species
AACGAACGCUGGCGGCAGGCCUAACACAUGCAAAUCGAACGCCGUAGCAAUACGGAGUGGCAGACGGGUGAGUAACGCGUGGGAACAUACCCCUCGGUUCGGAAUAACUUAGGGAAACUUGAGCUAAUACCGGAUACGUCCGAGGUUUUAACCGGCCUCGGAGAAAGAUUUAUCGCCGGAGGAUUGGCCCGCGUCUGAUUAGCUUGUUGGUGAGGUAAUGGCUCACCAAGGCGACGAUCAGAGCUGGUCUGAGAGGAUGAUCAGCCACAUUGGGACUGAGACACGGCCCAAACUCCUACGGGAGGCAGCAGUGGGGAAUAUUGGACAAUGGGCGUAAGCCUGAUCCAGCCAUGCCGCGUGAGUGAUGAAGGCCUUAGGGUUGUAAG